rnacentral:rRNA from 1 species
GACGAACGCUGGCGGCGCGCCUAACACAUGCAAGUCGAACGAGCGAGAGAGAGCUUGCUUUCUUGAGCGAGUGGCGAACGGGUGAGUAACGCGUGAGGAACCUGCCUCAAAGAGGGGGACAACAGUUGGAAACGACUGCUAAUACCGCAUAAGCCCACGGUGCCGCAUGGCACGGAGGGAAAAGGAGCAAUCCGCUUUGAGAUGGCCUCGCGUCCGAUUAGCUAGUUGGUGAGGUAACGGCCCACCAAGGCGACGAUCGGUAGCCGGACUGAGAGGUUGAACGGCCACAUUGGGACUGAGACACGGCCCAGACUCCUACGGGAGGCAGCAGUGGGGAAUAUUGCACAAUGGGGGAAACCCUGAUGCAGCGACGCCGCGUGGAGGAAGAAGGUCUUCGGAUUGUAAACUCCUGUUGUUGGGGAAGAUAAUGACGGUACCCAACAAGGAAGUGACGGCUAACUACGUG